AAUACAACAUAAUGACAAAUCUGUCAUGUUUACUGACUUAAGUUUAAUUUGGCUCAAUUCAUUUCACUACAAAGAUGUAAUUAAUCUUGUGUAGGAUGGGUUCAACCGCAAAAGGCUGCAGAAGAACCUGCCGCCCUGCAUUGUGGAGCCAGAUAUUCUGAAUCUACCCCCUCACCCAAACACUUGUUGUGGCUGCCAGACACCUUCUUGUGACUUCAACCUAAAUCAAAAAGAUGAUCUUGCUUCAACGUCAUGUGCCCAGCAUCAGGAGUCUGAUGAGCAGAUAGAAAAACUACUGGAGGACAUAAUGAUGGGCCUCAACAUCCUGCCCAACGUGGAGAAGGAGGUCAGGAAGUCUCACGACCCUGAACAGGGCCUUGUCGGAGCGCUGACCUCGGGUCAGGUCCCUGCGACACUGAACAUGCCAGAAUGCGGCCAAGUGCGUCCUGCUGUCAGUGUGCCAGGCUGCACCUUUUGCCAGGAUCUGGGGACAAGCAGUUGCCAUUCAGUAUCAGCAACGGGUACGAAACCAUCUUUGGAAACUCCGAAGCCGCCUGACAGCAGCCUAUCAGUGAUACAGCUGGACAGCGUACAGCAGCUGCAGUGCAUUGCAGACGGGACAUGUUGUGAGAGCGCGUCACUGUCCAAGAGUCAAGAAUGUCUUCAUGAAGAAUCCAGAACAAAAUCAGUCACACAUCAGGAAGCACCUGGACAAGACACUGAGCACAUCCAACAUGUAGAUCAUGUACCUACGACUGAGACGCAGUCUGAGUAUAGUGUCGUCUUAUCUUGGAUGAAUGAGAUGCAGAUUCCUCCAUGUCUUUCUCCUCUAGGCCCAUGCCAGCAACAGGCCUCUCUACAUGAGCGACCGUGGCUCACAGAAAACCCUGGAUGCCUACGGCUUCCUCCUGGUGCCAUCACUCGCAUGAAAAAGCGAGAGCCUUGCACUAUGAAGCACUUGGAAAAGAGAGGAACAAUAUCUGGAUGGCAACAAGAUGGAGCAGAACCAAACUCAGAGCCCAGGAAGAUAGUGGAGAGUUUAAGGUGUAAACAGGCCGGCACAUCAGGAGAACCUGUAGCGUCGAAAAGGAGGAAGAGAAAGUACACAAGCCGUCUGCAGGACACUGCUCCUCCUUUAGCGUACAAAGGUGUGCCUGUCAGUGAUGGAACAAAAUAUGUCAAAAUGAGCAGUUGCUCUGUCAGCUUGUCAACCAACAAUAUAUUGGCCAAAAGAAGAGAGAGAGGGCGAUCAGCUCUCUGA
rnacentral:lncRNA from 1 species